rnacentral:rRNA from 1 species
AAAACUUUCAACAACGGAUCUCUUGGUUCUGGCAUCGAUGAAAAACGCAGCGAAAUGCGAUAAGUAAUGUGAAUUGCAAAAUUCAGUGAAUCAUCGAAUCUUUGAACGCAUAUUGCGCCCUUUGGUAUUCCGAAGGGCAUGCCUGUCCGAGCGUCAUUACACCCCUCAAACCUCCGGGUUUGACGUUGGGCGACGCCCGCUACGGGGGCCAGCCUUAAAGCGAAUGGCGGUUUCCAACCAACCUCGAGCGUACAAGUAUCGCUGACGGUGGACGGUUGGGGGCCUGCCCUCCAGCAUAAGCUUCUCAAUGUUGACCUCGGAUCAGGUAGGGAUACCCGCUGAACUUAAGCAUAUCAAUAAGCGGAGGAAAAGAAACCAACAGGGAUUGCCUCAGUAACGGCGAGUGAAGCGGCAACAGCUCAAAUUUGAAAUCUGGCCCCUUCGGGUCCGAGUUGUAAUUUGUAGAGGAUGUUUCGGGUAAGAUCCAGGUCUAAGUUCCUUGGAACAGGACGUCAUAGAGGGUGAGAAUCCCGUACGUGACCAUGGAUCGCACCCGUGUGAAACUCCUUCGACGAGUCGAGUUGUUUGGGAAUGCAGCUCAAAAUGGGUGGUAAAUUUCAUCUAAAGCUAAAUAUUGGCCAGAGACCGAUAGCGCACAAGUAGAGUGAUCGAAAGAUGAAAAGCACUUUGAAAAGAGAGUUAAACAGUAUGUGAAAUUGUUGAAAGGGAAGCGCUUGCGACCAGACUUGUUCCGCGGGUUCAACCCCCUUUCCGGGCGGUGUACUUCCCGCGGUCAGGCCAGUAUCAGUUUGGGCGGAGGGUUAAAGGCCCCGGGAACGUGAUACCCUUCGGGGUAUGUUAUAGCCCGGGGCGGAAUGCCUCCUGCCUGGACUGAGGAACGCGCUUCGGCUCGGAUACUGGCGUAAUGGUUGCAAGCGACCCGUCUUGAAACACGGACCAAGGAGUCUAACAUCUAUGCGAGUGUUUGGGUGUCAAACCCAUGCGCGGAAUGAAAGUGAACGGAGGUGGGAGCCCUCGGGCGCACCAUCGACCGAUCCUGAUGUCUUCGGAUGGAUUUGAGUAAGAGCAUAGCUGUUGGGACCCGAAAGAUGGUGAACUAUGCCUGAAUAGGGUGAAGCCAGAGGAAACUCUGGUGGAGGCUCGCAGCGGUUCUGACGUGCAAAUCGAUCGUCAAAUUUGGGUAUAGG